rnacentral:lncRNA from 1 species
UUUUUUUUUUUUUUGCUGUUGUCAUGAAGCCACCUACUUUAAAGUACUUCGUUAUUGAAAGCCCUAGAAAAUGAAUACAGCAGAGACGUACCAAUAUGUCUACGAGCCGUUGAGAAAACUCAACAAUUAUCUUUUUGUCAUCACAGGCUCCCUCAACUGGUCUUCCAUUUAAGUAUUUCCAGGCAAGAGAGAUGGGUAAUCACCUUUGGGACUGCCAUUUCCCAAACUCCAAGGUUACUGGUCAAGCCUCACCCCACCACAUCUCCAAAUCUCUUACAACUCUCUUCCUCAGUGGCAGCAAGGAGUGGCCAGGAACUAGAUCAUGCAGGAUCUUGGAGUUUCAUGAAAACAACUUUGGAUUUUCCUCUACUUGAGUAGAGAAGCUCUUAAAAGUUUUGACCAGGAAAGUUAAAUUCUGACAUACAUUUUAGAAGGAUUUCUACAGCUGUCAAAUAGAGGCUAAACUACAGGAAGGCAAAAUAGAAGCGUGUAGAACAAUUAAGACAAGUACAGCAUCCAGUGAGGAACCGAAUAACGCUGUAUAGGUAGGUGAUGAAGACUGAUUAGAUUUAACAUACCCUUUUAAAAGAGAGCCAACAGAUUUUGCUGAGGAUUAGAUGUGGAAUGUUAGAGGAAUCAGAGGAUAACCCAAACAAUGUUACGAAUCCAAUGCCAUAUGCUGAAAUGGUGAGAUAUGCAACAGGAAGCAGGUUUUGGAAGUAGAAAAAACAGUUUGGCACACACGUUAAAUAUCCUAGUAAUGUGCUAGAUGAGAAGUUGGAGAUGUAUGUAUAGUAAUCAGAGAAGUCAGGGCUCGAUAUGGAUGUUUGGAAGCAAUUAGCAUAGUCAAGUUGUGUAAAAAAAAACAAUGAAGGAAAUAAAUGAGAUCACCUGGGGAAUGAUGAGAACAGAAAGAGGGGGACUAGGUCUGGAGUAUAGUAAAAUUCAGAAGUCAGGAAGAAUCAAGCAAAGGAGAAUCAAAAGAGCACUGUGAUUUCACACAGGUGAAAUGAAGAAUGUCUAUCAAGUUUCAAGAAAAAAGAUGUAUUUAUUGUGUCAAAGGCUGCUGAAAUGUUAAGAUGAAGAUUAAUAGUCGCCCCUUGGAUGUCUCAGGAUUGUUUAAAUGCCCGGAUAUCCACACACACAGUCUCCUUUCAUUCUAACAUUUAAACUACAUAAGAGGUCUCACAUUCUUUUUUUUUUUUUUUUAAGAUUUUAUUUAUUUAUUCAUGACAGACACAGGCAGAGGGAGAAGCAGGCUCCAUGCAGGGAGCCGAUCACGCCCUGGGCCAAAGGCAGACGCUCAACCACUGAGCCACCCAGGUGUCCCCAGGUCUCACAUUCAAGUGUGCAUCAGAAUUAAAGAUCUAGACUUUAUUCUUCACAUCUUGUAGUCUGUACUUUGUGGGCCAUUUAAAGGAUUUUCGUGGGCAAUUUUCACUAUCAGGAAUUUUCCCAUCAAGGCUGCGUUUAGAGCUAAAGUCCUCUGAGGCACGUGACUUCAGGUUUCCACACCUGUUCCCGUUCAUCCCGCUAGCAUUCAGGGGGUAGGAAAAAGAGCAGGGUCAGAGAGCCUAACCCUAAUUUCCUACUUUAGAAGUGAUAAAUUUUGAAGUAAAUUUAAUCUUCCAAAUUUAAACUUUCCGACCUUCGUGUUUUUUUCCCCCCUGAGGCUGAAUGGACUGUGUAAAGCUGAAUAAAACACGAGUGGAGUGGAUCCCUGGGUGGCUCAGCGGUUCAGCGCCUGCCUUUGACCCAGGGCGUGACCCUGGAGACUGGGGGUCGAGUCCCGCGUCGGGCUCCCUGCAUGGAGCCUGCUUCUCCCUCUGCCUGUGUCUCCGCCUCUCUCUCUCUCUGUGUCUCUCGUGAAUAAAUAAAUAAAAUCUUUAAAAUAUAUGUAUUAAAAAAAAAAAAAACACGAGUGGAAAAGUGAGCAACUGGCUGCACGGCCGGUCCCGCA